rnacentral:lncRNA from 1 species
AGUGCCCCGACGACGUGUACAUUCUCGACGCGGCGGAGGAGGCCGGGAUUGACCUUCCCUACUCAUGCAGGGCAGGGUCUUGCUCCUCGUGCGCCGGCAAAGUUGUGAGUGGGGGUGUGGAUCAGUCGGACCAGAGCUUUUUGGAUGAUGAGCAGAUGGACGGUGGAUUUGUGCUCACUUGUGUGGCUUAUCCGUCGUCUGACGUCACACUUGAGACCCACAAGGAAGAGGAGCUUACUGGUUAAGUGCUUUUGAGCUUUCUCAUGAUGACGUCAUGUUUUGAUGGCUGCUGGCUGGUUGGAUCUGCCUUAAGUUUGUUUCAGGAUAAGGUUGUCUUGUUUCUAAUUAUAUGAGUUGCUUAAUGUUUUUGUACUCUCAUUUGUGGUAUGGAGAUCAUUGUAUCUUGUAAACUCACCCUUGUAUGAAUCUCUCUCUUUGUUUGGAAGUG